rnacentral:lncRNA from 10 species
CCAGGGACUCCAGUUCCUCACUGUAGUGGGUGUCCCAGUCUAAAAUAAAGUCUUUUUAAAGAAGAUGGUGAAAAAGGGAGCAGAGGUAGAUAGUGAAAUACCAUGUUUGAAACUAUAAAACAUGUCAAAUUUGUCAAGUUUGAAUAAAAGUAACUUCAUUUGUAUGUUUAUAUUUUUAAGGCAAAUGAGAAACACAUCUACAAUUAGAGUCAUCAACACUAGUCCUACCAAAGCAGUGUAAGCUUCUUAUCUGGGCUUUUAAAUGUGUGGCCAAAUGGUUAAGUCCGGUGACAGAAUAACAGUCGAUCAGUCAAAAUCUGAUACUGUUACCUAGGUAUGCCAACGAUGCUAAGAAGAAUAUGUGCAAAAGUAAAGAGGAGAGAAAUCAGAAAGAUUUAAGUGAAGAGAAUGAUCUGUUCAAGAUGGUGGUGAAUAGGACACCAACAAGUAGAUGUGUAAUGUAGCAUGAAGAGCACAAGUGGGUUGAUUUGAAAAUCUAGAAGAGUUAAUAUUCAAAACAGGGGUGGAGUGGACAGUAGUCUAGAAAACACAACUUUUAGAAUUAAAUGUUAAAAGAAUAAUUCUAUUAUUUUAGAAAGUAGGAAGGGGUCAGUUGACCAUUGUGCAGUCAAUACUACCAAUAGAAGUUGUCUUUUUUUCAGUGAGUUUUCCCAUUGAUGUUUGAUCAUUAACCCAUUUUAAAGUGGGUCAUUUUCUGCAUCACAGUUCAGUGACUGUCAGUGAUUCUCAAGCUGUCACCACGCACUUAAUAGGAAACAAUUUCGUUAGACCAGACAUGUGAGCAGUAAGUUGAUAUAGUCUGAACUGAAAUAUAGAAUGAGAAGGUGACAUGGCUUGACUCUAUGUUUCCACCCAAAUUGUAUGUGAAAUUGUAAUCACCACAUGUUGAAGGAGGAGCCUGGUGGAAGGUAAUUGGAUCAUGAGGGUGAUUUCUAAUGGUGUAAUACCAUCCCCUUGGUGCUGUCUCAUGAUAGAGUUCUCACGAGAACUGGUUGUUUAAACAUGUGUGGUACCUUCCCCUUCUCUCUAGCUCUCUCUCUUGCCACGAUGAGAAGAAGGUCCUUGCUUCCCCUUUGCUUUCCGCUGUGACUGUAAGUUUCCUGUGGCUUCCUGUUAAACCCCAAAAAUGGGGGAUGUAGGAAAUGAGGGAAUUACAAGAAGAGCCAACUGGAAACUUUGCAUAGAAACAAUACACACAAAAUCCGGGCUCAUGUUUUCCUU